GGGCCAAUAGCUCAGCUGGUAGAGCGCGUCCAUGGCAUGGAUGAGGUCCGGGGUCCGAAUCCCCGUUGGUCCA
rnacentral:tRNA from 1 species